AUUGAACGCUGGCGGCAUGCUUUACACAUGCAAGUCGGACGAGUGGCGAACGGGUGAGUAACGCAUCGGAACGUACCGAAACAUGGGGGAUAACUGUCCGAAAGGACAGCUAAUACCGCAUAAUAUUCGAGCGGCCGAUGUCUGAUUAGCUGGUUGGCGGGGGAAAGGCUCACCAAGGCGACGAUCCGUAGCGGGUCUGAGAGGCUGAUCCGCCACACUGGGACUGAGACACGGCCCAGACUCCUACGGGAGGCAGCAGUGGGGAAUUUUGGGCAAUGGGCGAAAGCCUGAUCCAGCAACGCCGCGUGUGUGAAGAAGGCCUUCGGGUCGUAAAGGACUUUUGUUAGGGAAGCGGUACCUGAAGAAUAAGCACCGGCUAACUACGUGCCAGCAGCCGCGGUAAUAC
rnacentral:rRNA from 1 species